rnacentral:piRNA from 1 species
UACCUGCUCUGAGGAUGUUCCUCC